GAUGAACGCUGGCGGCGUGCCUAAUACAUGCAAGUCGAGCGAACAGAUAAGGAGCUUGCUCCUUUGACGUUAGCGGCGGACGGGUGAGUAACACGUGGGUAACCUACCUAUAAGACUGGGAUAACUUCGGGAAACCGGAGCUAAUACCGGAUAAUAUUUCGAACCGCAUGGUUCGAUAGUGAAAGAUGGUUUUGCUAUCACUUAUAGAUGGACCCGCGCCGUAUUAGCUAGUUGGUAAGGUAACGGCUUACCAAGGCGACGAUACGUAGCCGACCUGAGAGGGUGAUCGGCCACACUGGAACUGAGACACGGUCCAGACUCUUACGGGAGGCAGCAGUAGGGAAUCUUCCGCAAUGGGCGAAAGCCUGACGGAGCAACGCCGCGUGAGUGAUGAAGGUCUUAGGAUCGUAAAACUCUGUUAUUAGGGAAGAACAUAAGUGUAAGUAACUGUGCACGUCUUGACGGUACCUAAUCAGAAAGCCACGGCUAACUACGUG
rnacentral:rRNA from 1 species